UAAAACCAAUGAACAGCUGCAGAGAGUGGAGACCCGGCAAAGCAGACAAAUGAAUACUGAAAGGGAUCCCCAAAGGAGGUGCAAGGAUCCGGGACUCUAGUGUCUGCCAGAAGCUUCAGCCACCUUCACAGGUUAGAGCUCGCCGUCCAUUGCGGAGGUGAAGACCGGAUGGGAGCUGCUGGAUUGACCUUGAUGUGCCAUGUCCUUGUGUGGAUGAAGGACCUACAUCUCAGGGGUGGCCAGCAGCAGAUGUAACACCUGUGUCCAGGAAUGGGCUAAAUAACCUACAU